UGGGGAAUAUUGCACAAUGGGCGCAAGCCUGAUGCAGCCAUGCCGCGUGUAUGAAGAAGGCCUUCGGGUUGUAAAGUACUUUCAGUCGGGAGGAAGGUGUCAAGGUUAAUAACCUUGGCAAUUGACGUUACCGACAGAAGAAGCACCGGCUAACUCCGUGCCAGCAGCCGCGGUAAUACGGAGGGUGCAAGCGUUAAUCGGAAUUACUGGGCGUAAAGCGCACGCAGGCGGUUGAUUGAGUCAGAUGUGAAAUCCCCGGGCUUAACCCGGGAAUUGCAUCUGAUACUGGUCAGCUAGAGUCUUGUAGAGGGGGGUAGAAUUCCAUGUGUAGCGGUGAAAUGCGUAGAGAUGUGGAGGAAGACCGGUGGCGAAGGCGGCCCCCUGGACAAAGACUGACGCUCAGGUGCGAAAGCGUGGGGAGCAAACAGG
rnacentral:rRNA from 1 species